GUGGGGGAAGGGGAAGGGGCUUGGUCAGAAAUGCCUGCUUUUUAAAUAAAUCUAUAUUUUUUUUUCUGAUGACUAACCUACACUGCAUGUUUACUUCAGUGAUUAUAGAUAUCAUAUCAGAAAAUCUUGAUAUUGACUCAUCAUGAGUCGAGAAAUAAUCACGUGUCCCUCCCUCCAGCUCCUAUUGGCUCAGUGAAUGUGUCAAUCAUCUGCUCCUCCAAUCAGAGGUCAGUGUUCUGCUCAUCUGACGGGGAUCAGAUCAUCUACAACUGGACUCUGAAUGGAGAAAUACUAGAACAAGGACCAGUGGAUGGAAACACCAUUCAGCUAAAAGAGGAAACUGAUGGAGACAUCAUCUGCAGCGUGAAGAACCACGUCAGUCACGCACAGAAGACCAUUAGACUCAAACCCUGUCCUGGUGAGAUCAUUUAAUAAACAUGAAUGUCACAUAUACAUAAGAACUAAAGCAACACUGAUCAUGUAAAACAGUCAGUUCUCUUGAUUCUUGAAAAGUGUCAUGAGUUUGUUUCAGCUUGAUCUCAGCAGUGAAUGGUGUUGAUGUGUUCAGAGAGAAAGAAGCUGAUUCUGUGCUGAUGUUUUAUUUCAGGACCAACUUCUGCAGCUGUGACACCAACACCAGAAUCUGGUAUGAGUUCAACAAACAUUACUGGAAACAUGAAGGAUGGGUUUGUUUUGUGUCUAACAAACCCAAAAAACAAUAAAAAAAAUAAAAAAAAGCAGGACUUUGUCAUUUCAGGCAUUUCUGACCAAGCCCCUUACCCUUCUCCCACCCCGCACUUAUUUUUAUUAUAUAUAUUUUAUCAAGAGUCUGAAAUCUUACUUCUGUUCAACUUUAGUUCCUUCAUUAUUUGUGUAAUAUGUGUCUGAUUUUAAUUAAUUGUGUGUGUGUGUGUUGUUCUUCAGGUCUGGAUCGGUUCUGCAGUUUUGAUCAAUCUGAUCCCUGUUACACAGCUCUGGGACACAAACUCAAUCUGCUGAUGGUGGACGCUAGAGAAUAUGAUCUGAGGUUAAAAAAGAGAAUAAACGACAACACAGCAGAUGGUCCUGUUUGUAGAAUAAAGAAUGACAGGAUGACGAUGAGUGAAUGUGAUCUUUAUAAUAACAGACCUGAAGUGACAGUCAUUAAUGGGACUCUGAUAAUAAAGCGUGUGAACAGAUCAGAUUCUGGGAAUUACAGAUUAACACUCGUUCACUCAAAUGGCUCAGAAACAUCUAGAGAUCUUCAAGUGAUUGUUGAAGUGUGUUCAGUGUCUGUGGUGUUUGUUCUGGUCUGGUGUCUUCAGCUGAUGGUUCUGUUCGGUCUGUUAGGAGCUUUUCACAUCUACAUGAGACACACGUCAGGAAAGAAAGAGGAAGAUGAGAAAGUGAGAAUGAGAAGAUUUAGAGAGAGACAUGAACACACAGCAGAAGAUUCAUGAGAGCAGCAGCAGAUCUUCACAUCUGUGAGAAAUGACUUCACAAUCAGUCCAGCUUUCACCUGCUGAAUAAAACCAGGAGACAGAAGAAGCUUUCAUGAUAGACAAUGAUCUUUACAUGUGUUUAUUUCUUGUACACUUUUUUGUAUCAGUUUUAUUCAUAUAAUUAUUUUGUAUUCUUUAUGCUUUCAAUGACUAGGAGUAUUUUAUUACAUUGAAUUAAACUCCUUCUGUUCAUCUGUGAUCAAACUCUUUUAUUUCUCUGAAUCAGAUCUGUCAGAUUGUGAACUCAUUCUAAGUUUAUUUCCAUGUUUCUGUUCUUGAUCUUUCACUUUAUUCUUGAUUUGGUUGAUUUCUCUUUAUGUUCAGUGUCUGUUGAGGUGUUUUAUCUGUUUGAAGCUCUUCAUCCGUGUCUCAGUUUUGCAGCGUCUGGUGUUUUCUGACUCUGGUUUUGCUUGAAUCUGCAUUUUCUUACAUGACUUUUAACACAUUUACCCACAUUUGUGCAUUUUACUUCAAAAAUAUAUUUGUGUCAUUAUAGAGAAAUGAUAAACAUCUCAUUCUUUAGAAACUGUAAUUGAUGUCAUCGCUGAAUUUGUUAUGCUUGACUUUGAGUUAAAUGAAAAUAAAACGCUUUGAAAUCAAAC
ensembl:lncRNA